CUACGGGUGGCUCCAGUGAGGAAUAUUGCACAAUGGGGGGAACCCUGAUGCAGCAACGCCGCGUGGAGGAUGACGCAUUUCGGUGUGUAAACUCCUUUUAUAUGUCAAGAAAAUGACGGUAGCAUAUGAAUAAGCGCCGGCUAACUCCGUGUCAGCAGCCGCGGUAAUACGGAGGGCGCAAGCGUUACUCGGAAUCACUGGGCGUAAAGGACGCGUAGGCGGGUUGAAAAGUCAGGUGUGAAAGCCUACAGCUUAACUGUAGAACUGCACUUGAAACUCUCAAUCUAGAGUAUGGGAGGGGCAGAUGGAAUUAGUGGUGUAGGGGUAAAAUCCGUAGAUAUCACUAGGAAUACCUAAAGCGAAGGCGAUCUGCUGGAACAUUACUGACGCUAAGGCGUGAAAGCGUGGGGAGCAAACAGGAUUAGAUCCCCGUAGUC
rnacentral:rRNA from 1 species